rnacentral:rRNA from 1 species
AGCGAACGCUGGCGGCAGGCCUAACACAUGCAUGUCGAACGGAUCCUUCGGGAUUAGUGGCGGACGGGUGAGUAACACGUGGGAACGUGCCCUUUGGUUCGGAACAACUCAGGGAAACUUGAGCUAAUACCGGAUGUGCCCUUCGGGGGAAAGAUUUAUCGCCAUUGGAGCGGCCCGCGUCUGAUUAGCUAGUUGGUGAGAUAACGGCCCACCAAGGCGACGAUCAGUAGCUGGUCUGAGAGGAUGAUCAGCCACACUGGGACUGAGACACGGCCCAGACUCCUACGGGAGGCAGCAGUGGGGAAUCUUGCGCAAUGGGCGAAAGCCUGACGCAGCCAUGCCGCGUGAAUGAUGAAGGUCUUAGGAUUGUAAAAUUCUUUCAGCGGGGACGAUAAUGACGGUACCCGCAGAAGAAGCUCCGGCUAACUUCGUG